GUACCCUUCGCUGCUCACGAUUGUACAUUCGGCCUCGCAGGAUUCCGAUCCCUGAAUUUACCAAACUACCCACGCACGCAUUUCCGCGAACGGUUGUUUGUGUAUGCGUGGCACCGUCACUGGAUAGAAUCAAUUACAUAGUGUAUAUAUAUAGAGAGAGAGGGAAGAGAGGAGAGGGAAGAGAGAGAGGGAAGAGAGGAGAGCGCCAGCGCCACCCCACAGAGAAAAACAACACACCAAAAACCCUAGAGAAUUAUCGCGGCGACUCGGGAAGAUGGACGCCGAGUCGACUCAGAUUCAGCAGGCGCAAUUGGCGGCGAUUUUGGGGGCGGACCCGGCGCCGUUCGAAACCCUGAUUUCUCACCUGAUGUCUUCCUCCAACGAGCAGCGAUCCCAGGCCGAGUCAGUCUUCAAUUUGAUUAAGCAGAACGAUCCUAACUCGCUCGUGCUCAAACUCGGCCACCUUAUCUCAUCGUCCGUGCACCAGGAGGCGCGAGCCAUGGCCGCCAUUCUCAUGCGGAAGCAAUUGACCCGCGAUGACUCGUAUAUCUGGCCGAACCUCACCGAGUCGACUCGCUCCGCUGUUAAAAACCUCCUGUUGUCCUCACUCCAGAGCGAGGAGUCGAAAUCGAUUAUUAAGAAACUGUGCGAUACCGUCUCGGAGCUCGCUUCCUCGCUCGUGCCGGAGAAUCAGUGGCCGGAAAUCCUGCCGUUUAUGUUUCAGUGCGUGACGUCUAGUGCUCCGAAGCUGCAGGAAUCGGCGUUCCUGAUGUUCUCACAACUGGCGCAGUUCAUCGGGGAAACGUUGAUUCCGUAUAUCACUGAUUUGCACACUGUUUUCCUCAACGUGUUGAAUAAUUCCUCCAAUCCAGAUGUGAAGAUCGCUGCGUUGAGCGCUGUCAUCAAUUUUAUUCAGUGCUUGACGAGCUCGAGCGAUCGCGAUAGGUUCCAGGAUUUGUUGCCAGCUAUGAUUAGGACAUUGACUGAGUCGCUGAACUCGGGGCAGGAGGCUACUGCUCAGGAGGCGUUGGAGCUGUUGAUUGAGUUGGCUGGGACGGAACCGAGGUUUUUGAGGAGGCAGAUUGUGGAUGUUGUUGGUGCCAUGUUGCAGAUUGCCGAAGCGGAGAGGUUGGAGGAAGGCACGCGUCAUUUAGCAAUUGAAUUUGUGAUUACACUAGCGGAAGCAAGGGAAAGAGCACCUGGGAUGAUGCGCAAAUUGCCGCAGUUCAUUAGCAGGCUUUUUGCCAAUUUGAUGAAGAUGCUUUUGGAUGUGGAGGAUGAUCCGGAGUGGCACAGUGCAGAAGUCAAGGACGAGGAUGCAGGGGAGACGAGUAAUUAUAGUGUUGGGCAGGAAUGCUUAGAUAGGCUCUCUAUAGCGCUUGGUGGGAAUACAAUUGUCCCCGUGGCAUCCGCGCAGUUUCAAACGUGCUUUUCUGCUCCUGAGUGGCAGAAGCAUCACGCAGCACUCAUUGCACUUGCACAGAUUGCAGAGGGCUGCUCCAAGGUGAUGGUUAAGGAUUUGGAACAUGUGGUGAGCAUGGUCUUGAAUUCCUUUCAACAUCCUCAUCCACGUGUGAGAUGGUCAGCUAUUAAUGCAAUUGGUCAGCUAUCAACAGACUUAGGUCCAGAUUUGCAAAUUCAGUUCCAUCAGCAUGUGCUGCCGGCUCUAGCUGCAGCUAUGGAUGAUUUCCAAAACCCUAGAGUACAGGCACAUGCAGCUUCAGCAGUUCUUAACUUCAGUGAAAACUGCACUCCAGAAAUUUUGACACCUUACUUAGAUGGGAUAGUGCACAAGCUGCUUCUACUUCUUCAGAAUUCCAAGCAAAUGGUUCAGGAGGGUGCCUUAACUGCUUUAGCUUCGGUAGCUGAUUCAUCUCAGGAACACUUCCAGAAAUAUUAUGAUGCAGUUAUGCCUUACUUGAAAGUUAUCUUAGAGAAUGCCACAGACAAGUCUAACCGCAUGCUUCGUGCAAAAGCUAUGGAGUGCAUCAGCUUGGUGGGGAUGGCUGUUGGGAAGGAGAAAUUCAAGGAGGAUGCUAAACAGGUAAUGGGAGUGCUAAUGUCACUGCAAGGAUCACAAAUGGAGACCGAUGAUCCUACUACCAGUUACAUGCUACAAGCAUGGGCCAGACUUUGCAAGUGCUUGGGUCAGGAUUUCCUUCCUUAUAUGAGUGUGGUCAUGCCUCCUCUGCUCCAGUCUGCUCAGCUAAAGCCUGAUGUUUUCAUCACAUCUGCUGAUUCAGACAAUGAAAUUGAUGAAUCAGACGAUGAAAGCAUGGAGACCAUAACCCUUGGGGAUAAAAGAAUUGGGAUUAAGACUAGUGUCCUAGAGGAGAAGGCCACCGCUUGCAAUAUGUUGUGCUGCUAUGCUGAUGAGUUGAAGGAAGGUUUUUACCCAUGGAUUGAUCAGGUUGCCCCAACAUUGGUUCCUCUUUUGAAAUUUUAUUUCCAUGAAGAAGUCAGGAAGGCUGCUGUCUCAGCAAUGCCGGAGCUGUUGCGGUCUGCAAAACUGGCUGUCGAUAAAGGAAUUGCUCAGGGUCGUAAUGAGAGUUAUAUUAAGCAGCUCUUAGACUUCAUUGUUCCUGCUUUAGUGGAAGCCUUACACAAGGAACCUGAUAUAGAGAUCUGUGCAAACAUGUUGGAUGCGUUGAAUGAAUGUGUGCAGAUUUCAGGAUCUCUUUUAGACGAGAGGCAGGUUAGAAGCAUUGUGGAAGAGAUAAAACAGGUGAUCACAGCUAGCUCAAGUAGAAAAAAGGAGAGAGCUGAGAGAGCCAAAGCUGAAGAUUUUGAUGAUGAGGAGGGAGAACUUCUUAAAGAGGAAAAUGAGCAAGAAGAAGAAGUAUUUGACCAAGUUGGUGAAAUAUUGGGAACUUUAAUUAAAACAUUCAAGGGCUCCUUCUUACCUUUCUUUGAUGAACUGUCAUCAUACCUGAUGCCGAUGUGGGGAAAGGACAAGUCGGCUGAAGAGAGAAGGAUUGCCAUUUGCAUCUUUGAUGAUGUAGCUGAGCAAUGCCGUGACUUAGCUCUGAAGUAUUAUGAUACAUAUCUUCCAUUCCUCUUGGAGGCAUGCAAUGACGAAAACACAGAUGUCCGACAGGCUGCUGUAUAUGGACUCGGAGUGUGUGCUGAGUUCGGAAGUUCUGUGUUUAAACCACUUGUUGGAGAGGCUCUUUCGAGGCUCAAUGUAGUUAUUAGGCACCCAAAUGCUUUGCAGCCGGACAAUGUGAUGGCAUAUGAUAAUGCUGUUUCAGCUCUUGGAAAGAUAUGUCAGUAUCAUCGUGAUAGCAUUGAUUCAGCUCAGGUGGUUCCUGCCUGGUUGAAUUGUUUACCAAUAAAGGGUGAUGUUAUUGAGGCAAAAGCUGUUCACGACCAGCUUUGCUCAAUGGUUGAGAGGUCGGAUUUGGAACUUCUGGGGCCCAACAAUCAGCAUCUCCCGAAAAUUGUUUCUGUUUUUGCUGAGGUUCUCUGUACUGGCAAGGAUCUUGCCUCGGAGCAAACUGCCAGUCGAAUGGUAAAUUUGUUGAGGCAGCUACAACAGACACUGCCUCCAGCAACCCUGGCCUCCACGUGGUCGUCCUUGCAGCCUCAGCAGCAGCUGGCGUUGCAGACAAUUCUCUCAACGUAGUGGUCGUGACUGAUGAUGCGUGCAGCAAUAGUUGAUUUUGUGCCGGUCAAGCAUUUGUUCGUCCAUUCUUUCCAAUGAGAGAGAUGUUCCGCAUUCUUUUGCGCAAGUUUUUGGUCGAGCCCUCCAUUUCAAGACGAAAUGGAGGAGAGUCUGUGGACUGUAUAUUACAAGGUCACCCGUGUUGCAUCCAAAACCAGGCCUUUGGAUUAUGUUGAACAAUUGAGUAAGAGAAUAAUAUGUGAACCUUCAACUACUCCCAUGAUAAAAGAGGUAGAUUUGGGCCACCGCCUCGCCUCGCCUCGCCUCGCCUCCUCCAAGCCGUUCGGAGAGUCCAAAUGUUUCAUAGAGCCAAAUCUAAAAUAAUAUAAUCGCCCCCUCGAAUCGAAGUAUAGAAAUAGUAUGUAGUAUUUUAUUACACUACAUGUAACAUAAACUUCAGUAGCCUAAGGGUGACUCUUACUCUCUCUUCUAAAAUACUUAUUCUUCUGAUCUAUAUUGUAUCUUCUUCUCUGUGUACCAAAGUAACAUUUAAAAUUAUUAUGAGAUUUAAAUGUUUACUUGCAUUUAAA